GUGCUCACUUUGGCAGCACAUAUGCUAAAAUUGGAAUGGUACAGAGAAAGCAUGGCCCCUGCACAAGGACGACACAUAAAUUCGUGAAGCAUUCCAUGUUUUU